UCGUAAAACCGAGGCGCAAGGGCUGUCGCUGACCUUCAAAGGUCGUGCACGCCCAAGCGUUCUCUCAUCCAUCUCACCCCUUUUGUGCAUCACCGCGUGGGCCCCUUCUUUGCGGAGAGGGUCUGCGUUUUCACAUUAAACCGGAUACAGUGUAGAAUGUCUUUUUGCGGUCACACGCAAUCAAUA
rnacentral:misc_RNA from 1 species